rnacentral:rRNA from 1 species
UACGAGGGGGGCAAGCGUUGUUCGGAAUUAUUGGGCGUAAAGGGUGCGUAGGCGGUCGGGUAAGUCUGAUGUGAAAUCUCACAGCUUAACUGUGAAACUGCAUUGGAUACUAUCCGGCUCGAGGAAUGGAGGGGAGACUGGAAUACUUGGUGUAGCAGUGAAAUGCGUAGAUAUCAAGUGGAGCACCAGUGGCGAAGGCGAGUCUCUGGACAUUUCCUGACGCUGAGGCACGAAAGCCAGGGGAGCAAACGGG